GGCGGCGGGAGGGGAAGGGGGGGGGGCGCUGAGGCGAGGCUGCGCGGCGCUGCGUGGGCCGCCAUGGCGGGCACCGGGAGGGACGGGGCCUGCGCCCGCGCCCGCGCCCGCAGCGCCAUGCUGACGGGGACGGGGCCGCCUCACCGCGAGCCUCCCGCUGGAGGAGGGCGCUCGGAGGGCUCUGGGGGCCCUCAGCCGUGUGUAAAAGGGGAAGGAGGCGGGCGGAGGGCCGCCGCCCGGAGUGCCUCGUUGUGUGUGUGCGCUGCGCCUUGACUUCACCUAAUCCAAUGGCGAAAUCCAAGCGGUAAGAAUCUGGAUCUUCUCUGUGUAAUCUGCUUCUAGCCAUGCAAAGGUUGGUCUGUGCAUGGUCCCGCUUAAUCCAAGCGCCUGGAAGCCUCUGCGGAAUCAGGACCUGGUGUGUUAUCAUGGCAUGAAAUGUAAACAAAGGGUUGUAAUUAAAAGCACAUUAGGCAGAAGGUUGUUCGAAGCAGACGUGAAGGUGUAAUGGAACCUUAAGAAGUGAAUGCUCUAUUUAAAAAAAAAAAAAGAUCUUAAAAUGUUUAUGCUUUCAGGUAAAAAACAGUGAAACCUUCCUUUUAAGUUCAUACCAGGUCAGAAACCAAGCCUCUGUGUGUAUAUAUGUAUAUGUGUAAAUACAUAUAAAAAUAAAGAAAUCUUGUAGUAACCAUUAA